rnacentral:rRNA from 1 species
UACCAGCACCCCGAGUGGUCGGGACGAUUAUUGGGCCUAAAGCAUCCGUAGCCGGUUUUACAAGUCCUCCGUUAAAUCCAGCUGCUUAACAGAUGGGCUGCGGAGGAUACUAUAAGACUAGGAGGCAGGAGAGGCAAGCGGUACUCAGUGGGUAGGGGUAAAAUCCGUUGAUCCAUUGAAGACCACCAGUGAGCGGAAGGCCGGCUUGCCGAGAAUGACGGCGUCGACG